UAGAAACUUGCGGGAGAGAGCAAUCAUUGCCACCGAAGGUAUAAGCUAUGAACAUGCUGGUUUCAUAGUGAACAUCUCAGGUAAAGGGACCGCAAGCGGAAG
rnacentral:ncRNA from 1 species